UGUCUUUGGACCCGCGAUGCACCUGUUCACGCUUCACGGCGACAAGAAGACGACCAGCAUGAGAUACUCGCCCAUUCAAGAACAACAACAGAAAAAGAAAGGAAAAGACACGCGCCGCCUUCACAGGGAUAUGCUUCCCACCAGCCAACACCGGCUUCAGGCGAAGUCGAACGCACCGCAUUCUCGCCAGUGUUCCUUUGUGCCCGUGGCUAUUGCGUCGCGAGAGGCGAAAAGGGAGUGGGGAAGGCAGCACGACACGCGAGCCGAUAGAGCCGAUUCCUUUGGUCCAACAUGCGCUUCUCUGGGACCUCUGUUUACCGCCGCCGUCCUCUUUCCCUCCCCACGUUACUGUGGAGCCCACACGCGGUGGAGAGCAAAGAGGCAGCGAUGCUUUCGCACUUGUGGAUGCUACCCGAAG
rnacentral:misc_RNA from 1 species